GAUCUCUAAUGCUGUUGUCCACCAGGGGGUGAACGUUGGUUACUAUGCUGUAGUGUUCAUCUUCACCUUCAUCAUAUGUAUUAUGACACUGCAGCAGGGAAAGCUCAAGGCACCAGCUCCAUGAAGACAAACUCUUUCAUCAUUCUAGGCCUGUUCGUCAAGCUCGACAUCACCUGGGCUUUUGCUUUCUUCAGCUACGGACCUCUGCUCAAAGCCUCCUAUUACAUCUUCAUCAUCCUCAACUCCUUUCAAGGUUUGCAGGUUCAUCUAUUAUUUCACUUCCAGCACUAUCACUAGUGAGGACAGAAGCUUUACAGCCAACGGUAGCACCACAGACACAUCAAACACAGUUGUUACAAAUCCACAUUGACACUGCCUGUGCUCUUCAAGUGGGGACAGAAAGUGUUCCGUGCCAGAGAUUAUGUUGACACAAGAGGGCAGCAUUUUAUUUCAUGUAGUCAAGCAGAGCCUGUGUUGAGUGAGGUGCUGGUAAAAUGCAAUAAAAAGGUUCUCAUUCUCCCUAUCUCUGACUAGCCAGCUAAUUUGGAUUACCUUCAUUGAGAAAAAUGACUAAUGAGAAAAGCAGUGACACAGGAGAUGGAGUAAUCUCCAGGAAAUCAUUUGUGCCAAUGACUCAACAGAAGACCUGUUUUAUUCACUGUGAAACACACAGUAACUAUUUGUGAUUCACUCAGGAUAUAUCACAAAGGUCCUAAAUCAAAGCUUAAGUCAUACACUGGAAUGUUAAAAUAUUCAAAGGUUUAGAAAAAUAUGACCGAUGUAGUUGUCAUACGGACUGAAGAUGGUAAAGCGCAAAGAAAACAAAAAGGUGCAGGGAAGUCUUAUCUCUCACACUCCUUACGGUGGUUGGGGGCCAAGCUAGCCAGCUAGAGCUUUGCGUGCCUACAGAUAAUUACCUUGUGCCUACUGAGAGCAGUAUCCACUGUGCGGGGAGCCUUUACUGGCUAACAAGAAAUGAGCUCAUGGCUACCUAUAGUGAUAAGAGGCCUGAGGGCACGCCACUAUGUUGAAACUAUUCUCUGAAACAGGGCUGUAGUUAACCAGUAUUUAAACCUUUUAAUAAGUAGAGUGUAUCUUGGAGAAAUGCAUUAUGUUAAUGACCAGGAGUCAUUAAACAUUUUGUAUUUUGUGUGUGUGUAAUUGUCUCCUAUAGAUUUAAUGUAUUAAAUAAUAUAUUCAAUAUUAGAUCCAAUCUUAAAACAUUAACCAUGAUAAAUAAGUUUUAGAUAUAUACGUUUGGAUAAAGAUAUACGGACGCCUGCUUUCUUUUCUAUUUGUUUUUGUGUUCUAAUAGCCUUAAAAGGAACACACUCAUCUUUUAUUUAAAUGUUUGUUACGGCUUGUCAAGGUUUGCUUUUAAUACAAUGUGGUAAGGCUUCAUCCUUGAUUCAGCUUCUCAGGACAAC